AUUGUUGUAAAUUAAUAGUCAAUUGAUAUUGAUUACAGAAACUGUCAAUUAAUCUUAUUAAUCAUCGUUGAAGACAAUUGAACUUUCUAAUUGUCAAGAAUUGGCCGAGGUACAGUGAUUUUAAAUAGAUCUAUUGAAUGACUCAAGUGCAGUGUAGUGUUGUUGACGAGAAUAAUCAAUCGGCGAUCGUGUGGCGUCAUCUUUUCGAGAGCGUCAAGUAGCAGUUAUUAAGAAAGGAAACUGGUUUAAUGCCAGGAACAAGGAGAUUGCUCGUAAUUUCAACGAAUUGUUGCAGACGUGUUGCUCCUCUGAGCUUCUAGCACGGCUCGCAAACGGAACUGGUCUUAUCUUGGAACGAAUGGAGCGGAGAGAAACGUCGGAAGAAUCACAACGAACGAAAGCAAAUAAACGUACGCCUUCUUCCAGUAACGGGAAGAACGACUAGCGCCUGGCAUCGUUGCUAAAGAAGAAGAGGAUGAGAAGAAAAAGAAGAAAAAAGAAGAAGAAAAAAAAAAAAAGAAAAAAGAAAAAGAGAAAGUCGAGAGUCGAGUAGAAGCUGGCGUAGCGCGAUAAAGUGUGUAACGUUGAGAACGAAAAAGCAAGGGUAGCUACUAGAAAACAACUCUGGAUAUUCUAAUUUCAUGAAUCUCCAUCGCGUUCUCGCUGGAAUCACAAAGUACAAUUUUUAUCUUUCUUUUUAUGAUAUUAAGAGUAUUACACGUGUGCAGUGAUAAAUUAUUUACGUAUGUGUAUAUGUGUAUGUAUGUAUGUUUAUCUUGAUAAAAAGUUUUAUUAAAAAGUACGUAAAAAUAUAUGGGGUCAUUGUACUUUAAUCUGUCACGUAGCAUUAUCGUUAAGUGUCAACUAACCUGAAAUCAUACAAUAUCUCAUUCCACGUAUCGAACUUAGUACAAUUUCAAUUCUUUUAUCUUCUCGUAUUUGCUGAAUGAUUCAUACUCGAGUUUCCCCACCCAUUACGGAGUCUUGAAAGAUAACAAAUAAUCUGUAAAGUGGUCUCUGAACAACGAAAAUAACAGAUCGAUGAGCCGUGCUACGGGCAAUUGCCGUUUUAAAAUGGAGUCUUUCGGUUGUCGGGAAAUUUACAAGAUAAAGAAGAGCACAAAUGGUUCGGGACAUGAAGAGAAAGGAGUUAAAACUCUUUGAUCCUGAGAGAAAGAGAGAGAUAGAGAUAGAGAUGGAAAGAGGGAGAGAGGGGGAGAAAGGGGGGGGUGAGAGAGAGAGAGAGAGCAGAGGAAGAAGACUUACGCGUUAGAUUCCACAAAGCAGACGUUUUAGUGGCUCACAUUGGGUAUUUCGCUGAUUCUCGUACAGGAAAGACUGACUCAUCGUUGUCUUCUGGAGAAAUCAAAUCUUUCGGCAUUGGCCAGGCGUGGCGCCCGGCAAUCAAAACGAUUAUUCGAAGACGAGACGGGCAAGAGUAGGGUUCACGGCAGCUGGUCUAAAAGAAGAUUCUAAGUGUGUUGGAAGAAGAAAAGAGCUUCUAUCUUUCUCUCUUUCUCUUUCACUCUCACUUUUUCAUCCUUCUUUCUCACCACAUUCCGUCGCUUCGCGUCUGGACGCCUUAACAAGCCUCUAAUGAGGAACGGGUGUUACUUGUGUCCGUCGCGGUACUUUUGCGCAAUUACCAUUUAUCACAUCUGCCUCUUCACCUUUUCUCUCCCACUAUCUUCCUUUUCCUUAUUUCCUUUUUCUCUCCCUCCCCUCCUCCCUCCUCCUCCCUUCUUUCUGCCUUUUUCUCUUUUUGGCACGUACUACUGUUACCGGCUUAUGACUAAGUUAUUUUUCAUCUUAUCUUUCUUUAUUUUGAUGUUCGUUUGCUUGCUUUUUUUUUUUUCUUUUCUUUCGUUUUCAUUUUUACGUUCAACCGUUUCAAAUGACUUGAGAAAAAAAUAGUCGGUGAGAUUUGACGAGGGUUUAAUUAUUCUUUUUUUCUUUUUUUAUGUGCUUUGUACAACACAAAUUAUUGUCAUGUAAUAUACGCAUAAAGAUUUAAUAUAUUUAUCAUGGAAUUAUGUUUAUCGAUUGAAUCUCAGUUAAACACAAUUCCGAUAUAAUUUAUUAACGAGAAGAAGAUAGAAGAAGAAAAAAAGAAAAGAGAAGAGACGGAGAAAAGAAAAAGUGGGCCAGCUAUAGGUAGAAUCGGUUGCGCAGGAGAGGUAUAACGACGGAAAUCAGAUUUCCAUCGUCACGUAGAGCCAGUAGCAACGUAAGAGGGUGUCGAUCCCGUGGAUUCUCGAGGAUGCCUGAUACGAUCACGCCAGAUCGAAUCUUUACGUUGAGCCUCCGUAGAAAAGAAAGAGAAAAGGAAGAAGAGGAGAUGAGGAGGAGAGGCCGAGAAUCGAAGUAGACGAAAAGAGAAAGAAGUCAGAGGUGCUUUUGAAAACGGGAAAGAUAGGGCGAUAAAAGGGUAAGAGGAGAGGUGAUGCUAGCCCAGAGAUUCUUUCGAGACGGUUAUUUCUUCGUUCAUUAACUUUUACGGUCGAGGAGAAUACCCCUACUUUUCUCUUACGUGAGAUAGAAAGAAAGAGAAAGAGAUCUAGCGAGAUCUCCGUUCCUUUGCGAUUUUCAAUGGCGUGCGACCUCAUUACUGAAAUGGUACUCAUUACCGUUGUAGCGAAGAGAGAAAGAGAGUAGGAGGGGUAAAAUGUGAGAGAGAAGUGUGAGAAGUGUGAGAAGCAUUUUGUCACGGUGUUACGUACACACGCCGCGCCGGCUGUGUAACCCGUAAAAAGGACCGCUUGCUAAUGACCACCGGUUAUUCAACCACACGUAUAACUGUAGCUUUAGCUGAUGUUGAAAAAAGAAGGAGUUGGGUUAGAUGGAGAGAUUGAAUGGGGGUAGGCAAGGUUGGAAACGGAAGGUCGAAAGAGGCAGGAUAUGUUCAAGUUGAAUUAAAACUUUCAAGAUAGGACAAACCGGAAACGGAAGGCACGUAGAAAACGGAGUACUCACUGCAGUCUACUUGUUCUAUGUUUUUGUCUUUUUCAACGGAUUGCUUGAAACUGUACAUGACAUAGGAUAUAUUUCUUAUAUACGAUAUUUCUUUCUAUCAAGAGAAAGAACAUUGAUCGGGUAACGAUUGAUUCAUUGAUAAAUUAUUGAUCAUGACACUUAAACAUUUGUCCUUGGUUGAAAAGCAUGCAAUAUCGUGCACUUGAAACGGUUCACUUUGCUGCCCACGAAUUUGAAAUCGAUGCAGAUGCACGCUGUGCACUUCGAUGAGUUAGUCGAUACUAAUAUAACGUUAGUACACCUAACGAAGAGUUUACACUAGCUUGAUCUUUCAUCAGGUCAAGCAAAUUAGCACGUAAGGCAAACAGACGUACCGGUAGUCCAUCGUUUCUCUUUCUCUCUCUCUCAUACACAUAUACACACAAUCCCUACCAACACUUUCACUCGAAAGGCCUUCCCUUUUGAGAUCGAUUAUCCCCUAUUGGAUAGUGCAGCUGGUUUCUACCCUUUCGAAACUUAACAGAGCAGCAUCGAUAAUGCACUGAGGGAAAGGGCCAAUGUCUGAUCGAAGGGUAGAAAGGGAAAGAGUGAACUCGUAAAUUUCCUUUGGUUAAGAUCAUAGACCACAGAGAAGAUACAUAUAAACAGUUUACAGUAACUUGGCUUCUUCGGCCGCACAUGGACCGUAGCCCUGCCUGGAGGCGGCUAAGCGAGUUUUUAGAUGACUAGAUUGACUUUCGGAAAAUAAACAGGUUAUCGUGUGAUUUAUACACGUUGCCUGUGUUCCCUCAUAUAUUAUAUCAGAUCUUCUAAGAAAAUUUCAUCAAAUGUUAAGUAUUUGUCAAAGUAUAUUAAAUAUUUUUUAUUUUUAUUA